rnacentral:tRNA from 1 species
UUUAAAAUAAGCUAAAUUUAAGCUAAUGAGUUCAUACCUCAUUUAUAUAGAUAUUCUAUUUUUAAAA